rnacentral:tRNA from 1 species
UAGGGGAACCUGCGGCUGGAUCACCUCCUUUCUAAGGAUGGUUCUUCAGAAGCUCGCUUCUAUCGAACCGUUUUAGAAACAUCAGUGGCCAACAGAUCGCCAGAUCGUUGAGCUGCAUUGGCGGGAUUUCGCCGUCUUCGUUUCUCUUUCUUCGCGGACGAACACGCGCUGGGCCUGCAUCGAGCAGGAUCCCACGGUCCCUGACGGGAUAUGCGUUAGGGGCUUGUAGCUCAGUUGGUUAGAGCGCGCGCUUGAUAAGCGUGAGGUCGGAAGUUCAAGUCUUCCCAGGCCCACCACUUUCAGUGAGCAUUCGUCUUCUGGUUACGGGGCCAUAGCUCAGCUGGGAGAGCGCGUGCUUUGCAAGCAUGAGGUCGUCGGUUCGAUCCCGUCUGGCUCCACCAGAUGGUUUGAUCACCGAGAUCUUGUACCGUCGUCCGCGAAACAUCACUUCGCAUCCUGCUAGUCUGGAUAGACAGCAAGAUGCGUGUUUUCUGACAUCGUAAAGAGGAGAUCGAUCCGAGUUGGGUCGUGCAGCAGAUUGUUGCGCGGAUCCUUCAUUAUCUCCGGAUCAUUUUCGGCGCUCGCUCUCAGCCGUGAGGUGGAAUGCGAGUUGUAAAAUGAUCCUUUUAGCGAAGCUUGACCGCCUCGCUAUCGGAACGAUCUUACGAAGCAAGCUGGUCUUUCUAGUCAAUGUCCGGCUGCACGUAGCAUUCAUCGAGGGUGCGCGCCUUAGAGACUUCGGUUUCUCGGCAAUCGUGCAGACAACAUUCUGCCGAGUGUGUGGACAUUGAUAAUGAGAGCA